UAAGGAAUAUUGCUCAAUGGGAGAAAUCCUGAAGCAGCAACGCCGCGUGGAGGAUGAAGGGUCUAUGACUUGUAAACUCCUGUAAAGAAGGAAAAAAUUCCCAUUUGAUGGGAGAUGAUGGUACUUCUGGAGUAAGCCCCGGCUAACUACGUGCCAGCAGCCGCGGUAAUACGUAGGGGGCAAGCGUUGUCCGGAUUUACUGGGUGUAAAGGGUGCUCAGGCGGAUUUGUAAGUCAGAGGUGAAAUCUUACAGCUUAACUGUGAAACUGCCUUGGAUCCUGCAAGCCUAGAGUAUGGAAGAGAGUGAUGGAAUAUCUGCUGUAGCAGGGAAAUGCGUAGAUAUCAGAUAGAACACCAAUGGCGAAGGCAGUCACUUGGUCCAUUACUGGCGCUAAAGCACGAAAGCGUGGGUAGC
rnacentral:rRNA from 1 species